CCUACGGGCGGCUGCAGUGGGGAAUAUUGGACAAUGGGCGAAAGCCUGAUCCAGCCAUGCCGCGUGUGUGAAGAAGGCCUUCGGGUUGUAAAGCACUUUCAGUGGGGAAGAAAGCCUUGGGGCUAAUACCCUCGAGGAAGGACAUCACCCACAGAAGAAGCACCGGCUAACUCCGUGCCAGCAGCCGCGGUAAUACGGAGGGUGCGAGCGUUAAUCGGAAUUACUGGGCGUAAAGCGCGCGUAGGCGGUCUGAUAAGCCGGUUGUGAAAGCCCCGGGCUCAACCUGGGAACGGCAUCCGGAACUGUCAGGCUAGAGUGCAUGAGAGGAAGGUAGAAUUCCCGGUGUAGCGGUGAAAUGCGUAGAGAUCGGGAGGAAUAACAGUGGCGAAGGCGGCCUUCUGGACUGACACUGACGCUGAGGUGCGAAAGCGUGGGUAGCAAACAGGAUUAGAUACCCGAGUAGUC
rnacentral:rRNA from 1 species